rnacentral:lncRNA from 1 species
UUUUUUUUUUUUUUUGUAGAUCGAGAGCUAAGAACAAUAAUUGAGUAAAUAGAGAAAGAAAAAAAAAAGUGAGAAAGAGAGAGACUUAGCUGGUAGUGAUGAUGAUGAGAUUGAUACUAUAAAAGGUAUAGAUUCAUCGUUUUUUGGCAGAUCAAAUCGAACAAAACAACUAGUGAGCAGAAAUGGUGAGGCAAAGAGAGAGAGAGAUGUGAAGUUUGUUGCUGCUUAUAGAAGAAGAAGAUGAGAGAAGAAGAUAUAUAAGUGGAAGAGAUCUUUUUAUUUUUAUUUUAUUUUCCUUUAUAUUGUUUUCUAGCUUUUCUACUUUGGGAAGAUGAUAGAGAGACAAUACACAAAAUCACACUUGUCAAGGACUCAAGAGUGUGUAUAGUAUAUAGCUUCAAGACUCAAGAAGGUCAUUUAAGGAGAGAGAGACUGAGCAGAUGAGUACAAUAGAGAGGAGAUGAGAGAGAGAGAGAAGAAGAGGACUAUGUGUUUUACACAGCGUAGAAAAAGGUAAUUUCAUAGUUGAAGAGAUAGAGAGAGAUAGAGAGAGAGAGAGGAGUGUAUGUAUGACCAAUGGGUCAAGUGGGGAACUUGAAGUUGAACAUUGACAUGACAUGAGGAGAGAAGAGUCUGUGU